rnacentral:rRNA from 1 species
GAUGAACGCUGGCGGCGUGCCUAAUACAUGCAAGUCGAGCGAACGGACGAGAAGCUUGCUUCUCUGAUGUUAGCGGCGGACGGGUGAGUAACACGUGGAUAACCUACCUAUAAGACUGGGAUAACUUCGGGAAACCGGAGCUAAUACCGGAUAAUAUUUUGAACCGCAUGGUUCAAAAGUGAAAGACGGUCUUGCUGUCACUUAUAGAUGGAUCCGCGCUGCAUUAGCUAGUUGGUAAGGUAACGGCUUACCAAGGCAACGAUGCAUAGCCGACCUGAGAGGGUGAUCGGCCACACUGGAACUGAGACACGGUCCAGACUCCUACGGGAGGCAGCAGUAGGGAAUCUUCCGCAAUGGGCGAAAGCCUGACGGAGCAACGCCGCGUGAGUGAUGAAGGUCUUCGGAUCGUAAAACUCUGUUAUUAGGGAAGAACAUAUGUGUAAGUAACUGUGCACAUCUUGACGGUACCUAAUCAGAAAGCCACGGCUAACUACGUGCCACCAGCCGCGGUAAUACGUAGGUGGCAAGCGUUAUCCGGAAUUAUUGGGCGUAAAGCGCGCGUAGGCGGUUUUUUAAGUCUGAUGUGAAAGCCCACGGCUCAACCGUGGAGGGUCAUUGGAAACUGGAAAACUUGAGUGCGGAAGAGGAAAGUGGAAUUCCAUGUGUAGCGGUGAAAUGCGCAGAGAUAUGGAGGAACACCAGUGGCGAAGGCGACUUUCUGGUCUGUAACUGACGCUGAUGUGCGAAAGCGUGGGGAUCAAACAGGAUUAGAUACCCUGGUAGUCCACGCCGUAAACGAUGAGUGCUAAGUGUUAGGGGGUUUCCGCCCCUUAGUGCUGCAGCUAACGCAUUAAGCACUCCGCCUGGGGAGUACGACCGCAAGGUUGAAACUCAAAGGAAUUGACGGGGACCCGCACAAGCGGUGGAGCAUGUGGUUUAAUUCGAAGCAACGCGAAGAACCUUACCAAAUCUUGACAUCCUUUGACAACUCUAGAGAUAGAGCCUUCCCCUUCGGGGGACAAAGUGACAGGUGGUGCAUGGUUGUCGUCAGCUCGUGUCGUGAGAUGUUGGGUUAAGUCCCGCAACGAGCGCAACCCUUAAGCUUAGUUGCCAUCAUUAAGUUGGGCACUCUAAGUUGACUGCCGGUGACAAACCGGAGGAAGGUGGGGAUGACGUCAAAUCAUCAUGCCCCUUAUGAUUUGGGCUACACACGUGCUACAAUGGACAAUACAAAGGGCAGCGAAACCGCGAGGUCAAGCAAAUCCCAUAAAGUUGUUCUCAGUUCGGAUUGUAGUCUGCAACUCGACUACAUGAAGCUGGAAUCGCUAGUAAUCGUAGAUCAGCAUGCUACGGUGAAUACGUUCCCGGGUCU